CGGGACGGGUGAGUAAUGUCUGGGAAACGUCUCGAUGGAGGGGGAUAACUACUGGAAACGGUAGCUAAUACCGCAUAACGUCGCAAGACCAAAGAGGGGGACCUUGGGCCUCUUGCCAUCGGAUGUGCCCAGAUGGGAUUAGCUAGUAGGUGGGGUAACGGCUCACCUAGGCGACGAUCCCUAGCUGGUCUGAGAGGAUGACCAGCCACACUGGAACUGAGACACGGUCCAG
rnacentral:rRNA from 1 species